CGUAGUCCGGAUUGGAGUCUGCAACUCGACUCCAUGAAGUCGGAAUCGCUAGUAAUCGUGAAUCAGAAUGUCACGGUGAAUACGUUCCCGGGCCUUGUACACACCGCCCGUCACACCAUGGGAGUGGGCUGCAAAAGAAGUGGGUAGUUUAACCUUUCGGGGAGGACGCUCACCACUUUGUGGUUCAUGACUGGGGUGAAGUCGUAACAAGGUAGCCCUAGGGGAACCUGGGGCUGGAUCACCUCCUUAUACGAAGAUACC
rnacentral:rRNA from 1 species